rnacentral:rRNA from 1 species
AGUGAACGCUGGCGGUAUGCCUAACACAUGCAAGUCGAACGGCAGCACACUUAGAGCUGUCCCCUACGGGUGGCGAGUGGCGUACGGGUGAGGUAUACUUCGGAAUCUACUUUUUCGUGGGGGAUAACGUAUGGAAACUUACGCUAAUACCCCAUACGACCUACGGGUGAGAGCAGGGGAUCUUCGGACCUUGCGCGAUUCUAUCAGCCGAUGUCGGAUUUGCUAGUUGGCGGGGUAACGGCCCACCAAGGCGACGAUGCGUAGCUGGGCUGACAGGAUGAUCAGGCACACUGGAACUGAGACACGGUCCAGACUCCUACGGGAGGCAGAAGUGGCGAAUAUUGGACAAUGGGCGGAAGCCUGCUCCAGCAACGCCGCGCGGGUGAAGAAGGCCUUCGGGUUGUAAAACGCUUUUGUUGGGAAAGAACAGCUGCAGGUUAAAACACGGCUGUUGUGACGGUACCCAAAGAAUAAGCACCGGCUAACUACGUG